AUGAGAAGGUUCUUUCCAUUCCGCUCGUUCACAAGCAAUGCCGACAAACCAGCUCCAGCGCAUGAUAAAAGGAGUGAAAGCAAAUUGGAUGAGGGUGGGACUAAUGGUGCGUCCCAUUCCCCUGAUACUAGGGCACUCAGGUCAAGAAGGAGGCAUGGAAAUUUGAGGAGCGAGGAAUCGCCCAAUCCGCAGCUCAGGAGAUGCCUGUCGUUCACAUCCUCGGCAAUUGAUCGUUCCUUGGAUGAAAGGGCAAUGAGAUUUUCAGGCGAUAUCCCAUGGUUUAAUAAUUCUGACGUGCCUCGUCAUGUUUCUGAUAUUGAGUGCUACACAUGGUCACCAGAAAGACAUCCUAAUGUAGAGGAAUGCAUGAUAAAGGUUCCAAAAGCACAUGGCGUACAGGAAACUGAUUCACCACGUUCAAGAUGCUACUCAUGCUCAUCAACAGGACACUCUCCUCUUAGCUCUCCUGUUGCAUUGAAAUGCAGACCUGCCAGGUUGACCAAUUUACUGGACAAAAAUGGAGUGGUAGAUCUGUACAUUGAUGGGGAGCAAGAAGCAAACAUAUUAAAUGAGAAACAUAAGCAGAAAUUCCCCGUCAGAACUGCAGCUCCUCAUUCGGGAUGUGGAAGACCACCUCGACCUCAUUCUACAGCUCCAUCUUCACCAAAAUCUUGCAAAGAAAUAUAUGAGAACUACUCAAACAUAGACAAGACUUUGCAAGAUUUGGAGGAUGGAACUUUACCCCUAACCUACCACCAUCAACUUGCUCAGGAAGAGGCAAUGGGCACCUUGAAGGUGGGAUCUAUGUGUGAUUCAGAUGGAAAUGACACUAGUCUAUUUGAAGGAUCUUCUGAUAAUUUUUCUCACUCAGAGGAGUGCAAAUCACAUAGCGUGACUACACUGGAAGAUAUCUACGAGGACUCACGAGAUCUACAACCUCAAUGCUUCUAUGGAUUUUCAGUGAAUCCUCUUUUCGGGGCAACCUCAAGAUGCUCUGCUGCCGAUACUUAUCAUCAUGAUGGGUCUUGUGGUUUUCAUGACAAGAACUUGGAACAAGACACUGAUGAUAAGUUGCUUAGAAGAACUAAAGAAUUGGAUGCAUGCUUUAUGGUUCCUUCUGAAGAAAUGAGCGAGCUUAACAUGCUCAGGGAUAAGAGAUUGAACUCAACUGACAUUAUGCAGCUGGUUCUCAGCUUGAUUGAAGAUAGAAAGCAACUGGCGCUCGAACUAUCUUCACAGAUUAAGGCGCGUCUUACAGAAAGGUUUGCAGCCAAAGAACAAUAUAACCGGUCUAGGGUAGAAUUAGACUCUAGAACUAGAAGGCUGGAGAAUGAGAAGACUGAUGUGCAAACUACCUUGGAACGGGAGCUUGAUAGAAGGUCAAAUGAUUGGUCAGCCAGGCUAGCAAGAUUUCAAGCCGAAGAACAGAGACUACGGGAUAGAGUAAUGGAGCUAGCAGAGCAGAAUGUGUCAUUUCAGAGAGAAGUUAAUUUGCUUGAAUCAAAUCGAGUUGAAGUUUCUAACAGGAUUACAAGUUUGGAACUGCAAAACAAACAACUGAAUAAUGAGCUGGAGAAAGUUAAAGGUGAGCACACCAGUCUUUACAGAUCCUCAGUAGAGUUGCAUGAUAGCUUUACAAAAGCUGCAGAAGAAAGGGACCAAAUCCAAGAAUGCUUAAAAUCCAAGGAAGAUAACAGUAGGGCACUACACAAGGUGAUUGCAAGAUUACAAAGGGAAUCUAAUGAGCAGGAGAAAACAAUAAAUGGGCUGAGACAAGGAUUUAGUGCUGAAUUAGAAAAGAGAUCUGCCGGAAGUAGCGAAAGCAUCACAAGGACGCAAAUGGAACUUUUGAGACUUGCUGGAGUUGAGCAAAAGCUGAGAAAAGAAAUUCAGUCCUGUAACCUUGAAGUAGAGUCUCUUCAGCAAGAGAACAUAGGGAUUUUAAAUCGUCUAGAAAGUAGUGGGAAUGGAUUAAGUUUAUCCACGCUUCGUCUUGACCUCGAACUUCAUGCUAGAGUGGACAACUUGCAGAUGCAAGGCUUAUCAUUACUUGAAGAUAGUAGUUGUCUUUGUGGCAAGUUGUUGGACGUCAUGAAAUCCAAGAGUGAGAAUAUUGGCAGUAUUGAUGCACUAGCAGCCAUUGAAUACACUUUGAAGUACCAGAACAUAAGACAAGGAAUGGAUAAUUUAGCCCUUAGCCUGAGAAAAGUUAAGUCCGUGUUGGUUGAAAAGCACAACGAAGAAGACAGCACAGUGGGUGUUCCUGUGAGACAUGAUACAUUAUAUAGGGAUGACUUCGAAAUUAAGCUGAAAGAAGAAGCUUUACUCAACAGAGUAUUGAAGGAGAAGCUAUUGUCAAGGGAACUGGACAUUGAACAAUUGCAGGCAGAUGUAGCAUCUUUUGUCCGGACCCAAGAUGCCAUGGAAAAUGAGAUCCGUAGAGCUCAGGAUGAAUUAUGUCGCGCAAUCCACAAGUUCAAGCACUUUGAACUUCAGGUUUUGAAGAAAGACGAGAGCAUUAACCAGAUGCAACAGGAUUUUCAGGAAUCUGCAAAGGAGUUGACCACUCUCCGGUGCACCCUUAAAUCAGUAAGUGAUGAAAGGGAUGCCUUGUGGCAGGAAACAAAGCAUUUGCGGAAAACUGUUAGCGUGCUGCAAAACGAUGUUGCCUCAUUAAAGCAGAAAAUCAAAUCGCUCGACAAAGACAUACAGCUGAAGGAAGGCGAGAUACUGCUGCGUGAGGGUGAGAUUUCCAUAUUACAGGACAGCAUCGAUAGGCCACUCGACAUCAUCUGCAGUCCUCAUCAAUGA
rnacentral:rRNA from 1 species